rnacentral:rRNA from 1 species
AUUGAACGCUGGCGGCAGGCCUAACACAUGCAAGUCGAACGAGUGGCGGACGGGUGAGUAAUGUCUGGGAAACUGCCUGAUGGAGGGGGAUAACUACUGGAAACGGUCGCUAAUACCGCAUACCAUCAGAUGUGCCCAGAUGGGAUUAGCUAGUAGGUGGGGUAAUGGCUCACCUAGGCGACGAUCCCUAGCUGGUCUGAGAGGAUGACCAGCGAAACGGGAACUGAGACACGGGCCAGACUCCGACGUGAGGCAGCAGUGGGGAAUAUUGCACAAUGGGCGCAAGCCUGAUGCAGCCAGGCCGCGGUUGUGAAGAAGGCCUUCGGGUUGUAAAGCACUUACGGCGGGGAGGCGGUACCCGCAGAAGAAGCACCGGCUAACUCCGUGCCAGCAGCCGCGGUAAUUC